UGAGUAACGAAGUAAAAUAUUACAGCUAAUUUCGACCUAGCCUUAAGAGACAGACUCUCCCUACUCUU
rnacentral:tRNA from 1 species